UCUUAUGUACAUGCCUACAUCAUAACGUUAAUGCAUCGAAUCCCAUUAUAACUCCCCAGUUAAGUGUGCUCAGGCUAGAGUAGUACUAGGAUGGAUGAUCAUUCAGGAAGUCCUAGCAUUUUAAAAC
rnacentral:rRNA from 1 species